rnacentral:rRNA from 1 species
CAGUAGGGAAUCUUCCACAAUGGACGAAAGUCUGAUGGAGCAACGCCGCGUGAGUGAAGAAGGGUUUCGGCUCGUAAAACUCUGUUGUUAAAGAAGAACAUAUCUGAGAGUAACUGUUCAGGUAUUGACGGUAUUUAACCAGAAAGUCACGGCUAACUACGUGCCAG